GUUCGUGAUAGAAAUCGAAAUCAGAAUUGGAAUGAAAAAUUGAAUCCAUAGAGAAGAAUAGAGAUUGAAUUCUAUAUAGAUUGAGCCAUUCCUAUUCUACUUCGAAAUGGGAAUCAGAAUGGGACUUCUCCCAACCAAAUGGUUGGGACGAGAGUCACCGAUUUUGAACCCCACUCUUCUCAAUCAAACACUCUCUGGUAAC
rnacentral:lncRNA from 1 species